UUGUUAUAAAUAAUAUUCAAAAAUAAGGAAAUAGAAGUGAAAUUUCUAAAUUAAAACCUCGCGAUUGCGAUGUUCUUAAAAUGUUGAGUGUUUGGGAUUGUUUUGUUGUGAAAUUUUAUUAUGCUGAGGUAAUAAUUUUCCAUGAUCUACAUCAUGUUUAAUUGCAUCAGAUUUGUUGAUACAGCAUGUUAUGUGCCUGUGUCUGAUUUAUUUAAUCUGAGCUAAUAAUGUGAAGCAACUAUGACUAGUAUUGACAAGUGGCUCAUUUUAAGUACCCUUACACCAGACAUUUUACUAAAUGUAAAAUUAGCAUGUGUGUUUGGAAGCUCAGGAAAUGAAGCCAUAAUUGUAACCAAGGAUGGUGAUGUGUAUGCACUUGGUUCAAACUGCAGUGGAUGUCUUGGUCUAGGGGACUCUGAAGGAAACCUUUGGCCAAAGAAAGUGGAUUCUUUAUGCAAAAGAGGUAUAAAAGACCUGGCCUAUGGAAGUGGACCUCAUGUAUUAGCCAUUACUGAAAGUGGGGACCUGUAUAGCUGGGGGCAUAACGGUUACUAUCAGCUGGGAAAUGGAAACACUAAUCAAGGAUUGAACCCUGGACUUGUCACUACAAACCUUAGUGGACUUAAAAUAGUAGAAAUUGCUUGUGGAAGUCAUCAUUCUGUAGCCCUCACUUCUAAUGGUGAGGUUUAUGCUUGGGGACAAAACAGUUAUGGCCAAGUAGGAUCAGGUUCAACAACAAAUCAACCUACACCUCGGAAAGUAGCAGCUGGAAUUGGUGCUAGACAGUGUAUUACCAUAGCUUGUGGACAGACAUCUUCAAUGGCUGUGCUGGAUAAUGGAGAGGUAUAUGGCUGGGGCUACAAUGGAAAUGGGCAGUUGGGACUAGGGAACAAUGCUAACCAAUCUAUUCCAUGUCAAGUUACACAUCUACAGGCAGUAGUAAUACAGAAGAUAGCCUGUGGAUAUGCACAUACUUUGGCUCUGUCAGAUGAAGGGGUAUUGUAUGCCUGGGGAGCCAAUUCAUAUGGUCAGUUAGGCACUAGGAAUAAGGCUAAUCAAGUAACACCAGUUAGAAUUGCUGCUGAAUUUGGGAGAAUUGUGGAAAUUGCUGCCUCUCACUACAACCACAUUUCAGCAGCUUUGACUCAGGCAUGUAAAGUGUACAUGUGGGGACAGUGUCGGGGUCAGUCUGUAACUGUUCCUGAGGUGACUUCCUUUCACUGCUUGCACGAUGUCUUUGCUUGUUUUGCAUCUCCUGCUGUCACCAGCCAACCUAUGGAACUAGAUGUUUGUAUGGUGAAUACAGUAGGAGAUAGCCUUCAACAAGCAUUUGAUGAUCCUAGUAUGAGUGAUUUGAAGUUUUCUAUAGAAGGAAAAGUUGUGCAUGUUCACAAGGCCAUUCUAAAAAUAAGAUGUGAACAUUUUCGUUCCAUGUUUCAAACACACUGGGGAGAAGAUGAGAAAGAAACUAUUGAGAUUACACAGUUUUCUUAUCCUGUGUAUCGAGCUUUUCUAGGUUAUCUUUAUACUGAUAAAGUGGAUUUACCCCCAGAAGAUGCCAUUGGUUUACUGGACCUAGCUAACUCAUACCAUGAAUUACAGUUAAAACGAUACUGUGAGCAAAUCAUCAAACAUAACAUCCAUGUAGAUAAUGUAGCUAUGUUGUAUGUGGCUGCAAUCAAAUAUGAAGCAAAGGAUCUGGAAGAUUUUUGUUUCCGUUUUGCUGUAAACCACCUAACAGCUGUAGCCCAGACAGAUGCUUUUGAUAAGUUUGAUGAGUUGACAGUUAAAAAGUUUAUCUUCAAAGCUGCUCAGCAAGGGGCUUUUAAGUACUGAACUAUAUACAGGACUAUGGAUGUAGUAGGCCUCAUAACAUGAGCUGUUGAUUACUGAGUUAUGCAGAUCCUGGUAGCUGAGUUUGCAUGUGUGGUAUCGUACUUCAUGGCCUGGGAUCUGUGUGAUGUCCUCCAUAUUGAUUGACAUUUCCCUAAUAUGUGAUAGAGUCGAUUUUAUGCACAUGCAAUGAGUUGGGGCGAAGUUGGAAGGCUUGGUUUCUGUAAAUAUCACCUUAAUGUUGGUCCAACACUCUGGGAUACUUGUACCGUCCUAGAGGAACCAUUACAACUUCACUGAGCACCAAUGUAAUACAAAAUUAGAGAAACUAACAAACUGAUAUGAAAUGUAUAUUACCAUUGAAUUAUGAAAAUAUA
rnacentral:misc_RNA from 1 species